UAGGGGAGUUAGCAGAUUAACGUAGGUGGACUUGAAUUUGAAAAAUGUAGGAAGAGAUGAUCGGUUCACGAGCUGCUUGAUCUGAGGCACUACAGUGAUCUGUCAGGACACAUUAAAGAGCCACAGAACGUGUGUCUCUGAAGAUUUAACCCAGCUCCCUGGUGCCUUCUCAGUACAUUUUGCUGUCUCCCCUUUUCAAGGUGCUCCGCAUUUGCCGAGACCUGACUCAGGCCCGGUGGAGCUACAAGGUCGCCAACCUGCUCGGUCCCCGGAGCCCGUCCAGCGUGCCCUUGAGGAUAAACAGCCCUUCAGAUAUAAAUAACCUCAAUGAAAAUCACGGUGGGCUUCACUGGCAUCAUUAUUAAUAGCUGUCGCCUCAUUGAAGACACAUGCUAAUCUGUUCGCCACAUCUCUUUGAAGUAGAAGACGGAACUCGGGGCAGAUUAUUUAUAGCACUAAAGAUGAUGCAGUUUUAAUCCCUCCAUCAUUGGCUGGAUCCAGCAGUUAGUAUGAGGUCAGUCCACUACUCACAGAACUAGCAAAGCUUGUGCUGCAUGCUUCCUCAGGGUAUUACUGGGUUUGAUAGAAGUAAAGAAAUCUGCCUCGGCUCCUCAAGAGAUUCAGCAGAACUCUUCAAAUAAUCCUUGGCUUUUUAAAGUUAUGAUGCGACACUCCGGCACAAUGCCAUGUCAAUGGAUAUGCAUAUGUAUUACUAUACAAAUAGAUACAGCGCAUUUCAAAGAAACAGAAACGAAUGCCUUUGCACGUAGUUUUGCAAAAUAGGUCAUUGUCAUUCUGUGCUAAAUGAGAUUGUGGUACGCCUUUGCCCCCCAGUGGAUCAUAAGUAAACUGCAUUGUCUCUUGUUUGUCUAUGCUGCAGGAGAGAUGUGGAUUUACAAUGCUGAAAAAGCAUAAUUCGGAUGUUUGGUUUUCUAAGAUGUUAUUCAAAAGAAUUGUUAAUUGAAUAAUGCAUGAUUUUUUUGGAAUCAGUAUGCUCAACAGCGAUGCAUUUCUACAGUCAAGUACAGAGUGAAUGAAAGUGCUGUAUAACAAGUGGGCCUAAUGGGAAAAGUCAGUGGUGAGGUGUCAGGGAUGCUGAUAUGUAAGUCAGUAU